rnacentral:pre_miRNA from 1 species
AUGUAAGGCAAUCUGUUAUUAAGGAGGGAUAAAUUACUCUUAAAAAAAAGAACCCUCAAUAGUUUUCCCUGUGGCUUAAAUAAACUUCGGGU